GGGAGGAGAAAAUUAUACCAUCCAUACUGCAUAGGUUGGAUUUUAAAUAAUAUUUGCCUGUAAGCAAUACGCAAUUGGAUAAUGUUUUUAUGUAAAGAUAU